UGCAACUUAUAUUAUAAGUUAUUAUUUGUAUGUUGGAAAUGUAAAACAUUAAUGAGGAACAUUGGUGAAGAUUAUCCCCACUUAAUUACAGGUGGCGCUGUGGUAGAUCAGGUCCUACAACAUCUGUUUGUAUGAUAAGGAAGUCUGCAUGCAUUCAUAGGCAUGAUACACAUACAUGUGUAUGCUGAUAAUUUAGUCUUAAUAAAGAUAUUUUGUUUUAAUUUUUAUACUUAUAACUAUUCCAAAUAUUUUAAUGAUACAAUAUAAUGUCAAAAGUUUUGUAAUUGAACACUGCCUGAACUAAGAAAAACAAUUGAAAUUAAGAGGUGCAGAUGUAACAAGAAGACAAUUAAGAGAGUUGAUUGAAGGAUAGGUUUAAAAUAUAUUUAUAAAUAUAAAUAUAAAUGCAUUUUUAUCAUGUCUUUCUUCAUUAAAAACAAAUGGAAUAUAGAGAAGUUUUUAGAAACAUGUAUUCAUUACUGAAUAUUUAAUUAAAUAUAUUUACAAAAAUAUUCAAAUUAUAAUGAAUUUUUCGUUUUGGUUUUCAUUGCAAUUAAUUUCAUAAAUUUAUUAAUUAAUUAGAUUUUGUAAUUAGAAUUAAAACUAUAUACAUCUAUAUGACAAAUUAUAAACCAAAUCUAGCUUAAAAAAAAAUUGAUGGGUUUUUCCACAAAAAAACUAUAAAAAAAAUAUCUCUCAGGACUCUUAGUUAAGAAUAUUUGACAGAAAGCAAAAUUUGGAAAUGACUUUAUACAUUUUACAUCAAAACCAACAGAGGUAAAUCUGGACCCAAAGCAAAAAAUACUAGGUACUACAGUUAAGCAGUUGUACAACAGUAUAUCUGAAAUACUUGCGACUGGGAAUCAAAAUGACUUAUUGUUUGUCAAUUCAAAGUGUUAUACUUAAGCGAAAAGAAAAAUCUCAAACAAAGUUGAUGUUUUGUGCAAAAAUAGAGACCUCUUUAUUAUUGUGUCCAAUUGUGACUGUGCUGCUGGUAUAGUCACAACAGCUCAUAGUAAACUUUGUAUAAAUGCAGUUCGUUUUGGUAUGACAGUUUGUUUUUUUCAAGGAGUUGAGGACAGAGAAAACUUGCUCACAACAUUUGCUUCUCCAGGUGGAUUAACAGAAAAAAAUAUAGUAUCAGUAAUCAAAUGCCCAUAUACAUUCCAAAAUGAACUGUUCACACCUAAAUCUGUUCCUUACUUGUCUGAGGUAAAUGGGGAGUAAGUGUUGAGCUAAAAAACAUCAUUAUACUUUCAACUACAAUGAAAAAUGUUUUGAUCUAGAAAACAAGCAUGUGAUAUUUUUGUGUACAUAUUUAAGAUCAGAAAUUAAUAUCAAAGAAAUUAAAAAUGUGUAGCUGAAAUGAAAGAUGUUUAAACGUUUUUAUUAGAUUGAUAUUUAAAACAAGCAGAUCAUAUUUUUUAAUUAUUGUUUUGGAAUAUGAAUACUUUUCAUUCACCAAAACUUGUUAUUGAUGUUUUAUCACUCAUAAAAAGAAACAUCAUAGAAAACUACACUUCUUUUGUUAGGUGUCCAUUCUUUGUGUGUUUUAUCCUUUGGAUUUCGUUUUAUUGCAAUUGCCCAUUUCAUUUUUGUCGAGCCUUCGACUUUAGUCGAAAAAGCGAGACAUAGCGAUCCUACAUCCCGUCGGCUUCGUUGUCGGCGUCCACAAAUAUUCACUCUGUGGUUAAAGUUUUUGAAAUUUUAAUAACUUUCUUAAACUAUCCUGGAUUUCUACCAAACUUGGACAGAAGCUUGUUUAUGAUCAUAAGAUAGUAUCCAGAAGUAAAUUUUGUAAAAAUAAAAUUCUUGUUUUUCCAUAUUUUACCUGUAAAUGGACUUAGUUUUUCUGCUGGGAAACAUUACAUUCACUUUGUGGUUAAAGUUUUUAAAAUUUUAAUAACUUUCUUAAACUAUCCUAAAUUUGUACCAAACUUGGACAGAAGCUUGUUUAUGAUCAUAAGAUAGUAUCCAGAAGUAAAUUUGUUAAAAAAUAAAUUUCAUUUUUUCUGUACUUUGCUUAUAAAUGGACUUAGUUUUUCCGCCCAGGAAACAAUACAUUCACUCUGUGGUUAAAGUUUUUAAAAUUUUAAUAACUUUCUUAAACUAUCCUGGAUUUGUACCAAACUUUGACAGAAGCUUGUUUAUGAUCAAAAGCUAGUAUCUAGAAGGAAAUUUUGUUAAAAUUUUGUACCUGUUUAUCCGUAUUUUACUUAUAAAUGGACUUCCAGUUAACAUUAAAUACAGUCUGCAGUUAGAGUUUUUAAAACAUUUAUUAGAUUCAUAAACUAUCCUGGAUUUAUACCAAACUUUGACAGAAGCUUCUUACAAUCAAAAGAUAGUAUCUAAAGGAAUAUUUUUAUUGAUUUUUUUCCCCAUUUUUGUUGAGCCUGCGAUUAACAGCAAAAGUAGGAGAGACAAUGGGUUCCUCGAAACCCUUACAAAUUUUUUAACUUCCCAUUUUUAAUAUGGGAACACAUGUAUAUCCACCUCUAUUAGAACAUGCAGGUUCACAACAAAAUGGCAUUUAAGGGAAUAAAAACUUAUUAUUUUAACUUGUAAACAAGUAAUCAACACACUGUAAUUCUAAAUAUAUAGGUUAUAGAUAUGAGAUGCUGUGUGUGUUGGACCUGAUCUACAGCACUGCCACCUGUAUUAUCAUUAAAGGGGAAUAUUUGAUCAAUGUUCCUCAUUGCAAUCUAAAGCUGUAAAAUAAAAAUUAUGAUUAUAUGCAAAAUGAGAUUUUUUUAAGAAGACAGAAAUCCUGAAUUAUUUUAGCAGCAGUCUGUGUUUAAACUAUGUUCUAUAAAAGAGGGACGAAAGAUAACAGAGGAACAGUCAAACUCACAGAUCGAAAACAAACUGACAACGCCAUAGCCAAAAAUAAAAAGACAAACAGACAAAUAAUAGUACAGAUGACACAACAUAGAAAACUAAAGACUAAGCAACACAAACCCCACCAAAAACUAAAAACUAUAAAUGCAAUACCAAAAAUAAAAUUAUUUGAAAAUUUUGAGACAAACUUUCUUGAAUUAACUGAUAUACUCUAACCUACUUAUUUUUCACCCAAACAUAUUGUUUGUUGUAUUUAGCCCUCUCUAAUGGACUUUUAAUAAUUUAUUUUUUUACAAUUUCUAAUAUUGAUGGAAAUGUUUUAAGAAAUUUAAUUAAUCAAUAGAACAGAAUUAGAGACAAGGAGUAAGCCUCCUUCAUUUACUAUAGCUACUAUGUAGCAAAUACCUUUGGAUUUAAUGACCUUGUUUGUUAUGCAAGUAAUACCAAGUCUUUCAAACUUUAUUAUGGUUAUAGAAUAAAAUGUUUGUACUAUA